rnacentral:rRNA from 1 species
AUUGAACGCUGGCGGCAUGCUUUACACAUGCAAGUCGAACGGCAGCGCGGGGGCAACCCUGGCGGCGAGUGGCGAACGGGUGAGUAAUGUAUCGGAACGUAUCCUGUAAUGGGGGAUAACCAGUCGAAAGAUUGGGUAAUACCGCAUACGCACGAGAGUGGAAAGUAGGGGAUCGCAAGACCUUACGUUAUAGGAGCGGCCGAUAUCUGAUUAGCUAGUUGGUGGGGUAAAGGCCUACCAAGGCGACGAUCAGUAGCUGGUCUGAGAGGACGAUCAGCCACACUGGGACUGAGACACGGCCCAGACUCCUACGGGAGGCAGCAGUGGGGAAUUUUGGACAAUGGGCGAAAGCCUGAUCCAGCCAUUCCGCGUGCAGGAUGAAGGCCCUCGGGUUGUAAACUGCUUUUGUACAGAACGAAAAAGCUCUGGCUAAUACCUGGAGUCCAUGACGGUACUGUAAGAAUAAGCACCGGCUAACUACGUG